CACGUAGUUAGCCGGAGCUUAUUCCUCAGGUACCGUCAAAUUCCUCUUUCUCCCCUGAUAAAAGAACUUUACAUUACGAAUAACUUCUUCGUUCACGCGGCGUUGCUCGGUCAGGGUUCCCCCCAUUGCCGAAAAUUCCCUACUGCUGCCUCCCGUAGGAGUAUGGACCGUUCUCAGUUCCAUUGUGGCCGUUCAACCUCUCAGUCCGGCUACGCAUCAUCGCCUUGGUAGGCCCUUACCCCACCAACUAGCUAAUGCGCCACAGGCCCCUCCUUAAGCAGAUCUCUCUUUUAAAUAUAAAAGAUUCUUCCUCUAUAUCCUAUCCAGUUUAUCCAUCGUUUCCAAUGGCUAUCCUCGUCUUAAGGGUAGGUUACCUAUGUAUUACUCACCCGUUCGCCACUAAAGUACCCCGAAGGUACUUCCGUUCGACUUGCAUGUAUUAGGCACGCCGCCAGCGUUAAUCCUGAGUCCCAGGAUACAAAACUCCU
rnacentral:rRNA from 1 species